rnacentral:tRNA from 1 species
GCUGUGAUGGCCGACGGGUGAAGGCGUUGGACUCGCAAUCCAAUAGGGAUUCUCUGCGCAGGGUCGAAUCCUGCUCACAGCG